rnacentral:lncRNA from 1 species
CGCGACUCCAAAUAGCAGUAGAGGCAAUAAUCUAAAUGUAAGUAACAAAGGCUAUACUAGGUGAGCAGUAGAUGCGAUGCUCUAAAUAUAUAAGCAGCUUGUGAUAAGCUGCCAUCCUUACAUGAGUGUAGCGCAUCCAUGUCAAGGGCUACCUCCAUGGGGUUUGGUCCAGCCAUGUAAGGGCUUCCUGCACCAUCGUUUACCCAUGCUAAGGGCUUCCUGCAUGUUGGAUGGUUUAUUUAUGCAAAGGAUAAUAUAAGCUCUUUGAAAAUCAGUAAACGUGACAUAGCUGAAGAAGAAACUAAACUCUGAAAGAUAUGUAGUAAAAUACAUUCGAUGCCAAGUCAUGAUGAGUUCUUUGAAGAUAAAUACAUAUGUAAUUCUACAACUCAACAUCUCACAAAGUGAGGAAUGAAUAUCGAGCGGAUGGAUCAUCUAGAACUAUCAAAGUCUUAUAAGCUAGCCUAGAAAUACAGAUGUCUUAUAACUAAACUAGAUGACAGUAAGAAGCGAGGAAUAAG